rnacentral:lncRNA from 1 species
CGUUGGAGAGGUGUUACCGGAACGGCGGCGACAAGGGUGUUCCCGAACUAGAGUGGGGCAUACAUAAUCUUGCUGCUAUGCUUCGAAGCUGUAGUCUGAAUCAACCUAAGUUUUAAACAGAAGGUGAACCUCUGAGAUAGAAAAUCAAGUAUAUUUUAAAAGAAGGGAUGUGGGAUCAAGGAGGACAGCCUUGGCAGCAGUGGCCCUUGAACCAGCAACAAUGGAUGCAGUCAUUCCAGCACCAACAGGAUCCAAGCCAGAUUGAUUGGGCUGCAUUGGCCCAAGCUUGGAUUGCCCAAAGAGAAGCUUCAGGACAGCAAAGCAUGGUAGAACAACCACCAGGAAUGAUGCCAAAUGGACAAGAUAUGUCUACAAUGGAAUCUGGUCCAAACAAUCAUGGGAAUUUCCAAGGGGAUUCAAACUUCAACAGAAUGUGGCAACCAGGCUGACAGGGGCUGGGAACACUCUGGAAACCUCACUUGGCAUCUAGGGAAGAGAGCAUUCUUUGUCUCUCUAUUGCAACCUCUGGCCUUUUCAGAAGCAGCACUGGCAGAGUAAAACAUGUCUAGCCUCUAAUUAAAGAAAAAUUGUGUCACUGUGUGACAAAUUAGUCUGUCAAAUAUACUCUGCCCCUACCAUCCGCCUACCUUUUUCUUCCCUUUUUUUUUUUCAGAUAGUGAAGAUCUUUCAUAAGUUUUUGUGUGUUUUACUUUUUUGUUUGUUUUAUUUCACAGUAUGAUGUAGAUUUCUUGAUGCUAAUUCAGUCUUCCAUGGCUUGUGUUAUUCCUUUUUAAUAGUCACUUGAAACUAUGGAGGAAUCAGCCUCUCAUUUGGGUAUGCUGAUGGUGAAGUCAUAACCUCCUUUCCCUAUUAAUACUUUUUGUUUCUCCUUAUAAGAAUGGAGACCUCAGUCGAGACCAGCCUGGGCAACAUAGCAAGGCCCUGUCUCUACAAAAAAAAAAAAAAAAAAAACCUUAAAACUUAGUCAGGCAUAGAGGCGCAUGCCUGUAGUCCCAGCUACUUGGGA